UACGAAGGGGGCUAGCGUUGCUCGGAAUUACUGGGCGUAAAGGGCGCGUAGGCGGACAGUUUAGUCAGAGGUGAAAGCCCAGGGCUCAACCUUGGAAUUGCCUUUGAUACUGGCUGUCUUGAGUUCGGGAGAGGUGAGUGGAAUGCCGAGUGUAGAGGUGAAAUUCGUAGAUAUUCGGCGGAACACCAGUGGCGAAGGCGACUCACUGGCCCGAUACUGACGCUGAGGCGCGAAAGCGUGGGGGAGCAAACAGG
rnacentral:rRNA from 1 species